UCACCUCAUUUAGUUCCGUGGGGACAAAGCAAUCUUUGAUGUAUAGCUGUACUUUUCAUUUUAAUAACUGCAUUCAUCUUUCCAUCUCAGACCGCGUGUAUUUGAAGGUACGUAAAUAUGAUUUCCGUUCUAAUUCAGUUAUUUGCGAAAUCCACUGUUUAUCUGAUUUAAUGUGAAUGUCUUUCUCCUCUCAAUGAACAUUCAAAAAUAUGGGUGCUUUCUUUUUAUACACAUUUUGAAGUAAUCAUCAAAUCUUUAUUUUACACGUUUACAAUAUACUUAAAUUCUU